GCACAUGGUGGGAUGAGCACUGGCUGUGAUACACAACUGAUGAAUUACUGAAAACCACAUCUGAAAUUAAUGAUGUACUCUAUGUUGGCAAAUUGAAUUUAAAUUAAAAAAGAACAUAAGUCGGAUAGAAAAAAAAAAAAGAAGUGGCCCUAACAGAGCUUUGGACUAUAGAUAUCCUCUGAGCGAUGCAGUUGUGGCUGUGUGAUCUCUGGCAAGUUUCCAAGCUUUUCUGAUCCAUCUGCAGGGGAAAGGGGCUGAGCCAGGGGCUGUACAAGUGCCUGUUCCUUGAGCAUUAUCUGGGCAUCAGCUGAGAGCAGCUCCUGUGGAUAUUCCAUUUGUCGAAGGAAGAAAAAGUAAUCAGGUCCCAAGUGGCGGUAAUAUUUUUAGAUGGCAUUGCUUCAUGCAGUCCUUCUGGGCGGCUUAAAUGUGGACUUUGGGGCAGGGCAGCAGCAUGAGCGACCCGAAGGCACCAGCCUGAGAUGGCUCCCCAGCCCUGAGCACUGGGGAGUGAUGGGUUCACGGGCGCAGCAGGAGGUGGAUGGCUCCCUGGCAGCUUUGGUUAAAAGGAGUUAAUGGAUCGUGCUCUCUCCUGCUUAGUGAUUACAGGAUUCUUUCCUGUCUAUCACAUCUUGGCCUUACUGCCCUGCUGAAGACUCGCUGUGUUUCUGCUUCUCCCUCUCAGGCCUUAAGGCAGACUGGAGUCUACUUGGGGCCUGCGGGUGGGAGGGACUGCAAAUCGCUUCUCUUAUAUGUGCCUCUGCUUUCUCCCACAUGAAAAGCAGGUGAUUCCAGAAUCUUGGCUGUGGAAGCAUCCUCAGGGAACACCUCUGUAGCCCCUUACGGUACAGAUGGGGAAACUGAGGCAGAAGGGGAAUGAGUGAGGUCGGAGAAUCAGAUCUGCAAAGCUGGACCCCGAUGUCCUGGCAGUUGGUUCCCAUGGGCAGGUGUCAAGGGAGCAUCAUUUGCCUCGUCCCCUUCAUCACCCAAGUUCAAACCUGCAGGGCAGGAAGUGAGGUUGGGAGGGACUCUGGCUGGCUGGGAGGUGUGGGCUGAGCAGAGAGGCCCCGUGGGUCAGACCUUACUGAAGGAGUUUGGAAGAGUGUGAUCUAAGGGAUGAGUUCACCCUGGGAUGAGGCAGGGAGGCCAGAGGAGCAAGCCUUCGUCUCAAGCUCAGAGAAGGUGAUGGAGCCAGAAACACAUAAUGUGAGAAAGCCAGCAGCAGAAGUUGCUGUAUUGAGAAUACUGGUCAGUGACAGGUUCAAGGUGAUGAACCCUGGCGUAUUGGGCCUGUUUCUCUUCUCUCCCUCUCUCUGUCCUUUUUUCUCUUUCUCUCUUUUUCUUGAUUAUUGGCCAUAAAAUCCAGCUUUCUUAGAGAAAGUUUCCAGGCCAGAAGAGACAGACUAUUUGCACAAAACCUAACAAUGUACUGCCAUAGGAAGGAGAGGAUCCUUUAGGUACCUGUACCGGAAAAAUAGGCCAGGUGCUAAACUCGGUCAGAAAAGCUGGCUUAAUGAACGAAUCCAUCCAUUAAGUCACUGGUUCCCAAGCAUGCCUGAACUUUGCCAGGUUCCUGGGUCCAUUCUUCACGAGGCGAGGCAGGCAGAGUGCACACACACACACUGUCUCCCUGAGCUGUGCUAAUGAUAAAACACAUCACUGGGAUUUUUUUUUUUUAAAGAUUUUAUUUAUUUAUUCCUGAGACACACAGAGAGAGGCAGACACACAGGCAGAGGGAGAAGCAGGUUCCAUGCAGGGAGUCCAAUGCGGGACUCGAUCCCAGAACCCCAGGAUCAGGAUCUGAGCCACUGAUCUUGAUCUGUGCUCAACUGCUAAGCCACCCAGGCGUCCCUUCACUGGAGUUUCGAUGGGAUGAAAUGAGUUGCUCUACGAAAGUGAACACACUUUACUCUGAAAUACGUAAAAUCCUCUCUGUUACAGCCUCCCCUGCUUAUUCGCGGGGGACAUGGUCCAAGAGCCCCACCCCAUAGGAUGCCUGAAAUUGUGGAUAGCACCCCACCUUGUAUGUACUGUUUUUUCCUAUACACACCCACCCAUGGUAAAGCUUAAUUUGUAAAUUAGGCACAGUAAGAGAUUCACCACCUAGCCACUAAUAAAAUAGAACAAUGAUAACAAUAUACUGUAAUAGAAGUUAGGUGAAUACAGUCUCUCUCAUUUGAAAAUACCUUAUCAUCCUGUACUCACCUUUCUUCUUGUGAUGAUGUGAGGUGAUAAGAGGGCCAGGUGAUGAGAUGAAAUUAGUUGAGUCACACAGGUGCUGUGAGGUUGUGUUAGGCCACUCCUGACUCUCCGACCAUUUGUCAGAAGGAAGAUCCUCUGUUUCCAGAUGGCAGUUGACCUUGGGUGGCUGAAACCAGGCACAAGGGGACCUACUCCUGUGGUGCAGUAUGUAUACUACUGUACUCUACUAUUAUUUAUAUUUUACUCAUGAUUGUGUUGACUGUUGUCAGAGCCCCGAGUCUGUGCAUUAAGGGUUUUCCUCAUGACCAAUUUAGAGAAACCCAGCUCUGCCCCUCAGGGAAAGAUGGAGGCUACUCAGUCUCCCUAAGGCAUAUAGGGAGCCAGAAGCCCCAGGAGGGAGACAAUUUACAGCAGUUUGAACUUGACCUAUGCUCUCCUUGUACUGGAGUCAUAGGGGCAUCUGUGCUGUACACACCAUUAUACCCAUGAGUUGGAACCUUUUCUACCAGAGUAGAAUCCAUGUCAGCUCUGCAACAGUUGUCUCUCUCCCUUGCUCUGAGAUUUUCCUGGUGACCACUGAGUCGCUGAAGUACACUCCAGCCUUCAAACAGCUCAGAGUUUGUAUAGAGUCUUCAGACACUCCAUGUAUUUGCACUCCACUCUGCUUUUUUUUUUUUCCCUCCCUAGCAAGAGAUGGCUGAUCAAUCAAUGACACUGACACUUCGCCCCAACUGGGACAGGAGCUGUUUCUCAAUAUAGUUCUCUAAUUAGCUACCAGGUGGGAGUUCGCCAAGGCGUAGCAUAUACGUCAUCUAAAGACUGGUGUAAAACACCUCAAACAUAUGGAUUUUAAGCAUCUAGUUCAACAUUCUACCAGAUUCUGUAUUGAGGAUGAAGGCAGCGCUGUCUGGUUCUCUUUGGUCUAGAAAUGGCCAUGAGAGCAGAGUAGUUUCAAACACCAACCUGCGAUCCAUUUGGGUUUGUACUUAACUGAUCAGCCAUUGAUUAUUGGGUGAGGAUUCCAGUUGGAGUCUCUUUCCCUUCCUUCUGGUUCCUCACUAAGCAGAAUUCACUCUUCCCCAUGCAUCAGGAUUUUCUACUCUGCGACGAAUCCUCAAACUUUUGUACAAAUGUUCAGUAAGACAAGUGCUAUCUUUGAUCCUUGAGGAACACCAUUUGUUACAUGUCCCCAUCCUUGAAAGGGCCUAUUUCCUUCUCUGUUCUCGUUCUCUGAGCAGACUCUAUUCAAGGCAGAGCGCGCACACAUCCCCAAUCCCAUGGUGAUGCAGUGUUUUGAACAGCUUUUGAUGUGGAAAUUUGUCAAUGGUUUUCUUGUCUUUCUUCUUCUUCUUCUUCUUCUUCUUCUUCUUCUUCUUCUUCUUCUCCUUCUUCUUUCUUCUUUCUUCUUUUCUUCUUCAAGUAUAAUUAAAUUAUUUCCACAGACUCCUUUAGCCAGAUGCCUGUUCACCAUCUCAAAAAGCACCAAUAAAUUACUUGAGCAUGACUGUGGACACUGUGUUUUCUCUCUCUGACGGGUGAUUGUUCAGUUAACAGCACACACUUAACUGCUGAACAGCAUAGUCCUGGCGUCAGGUGUGAUGUUAGGUCACGGUAGGGAAUCCCUGGUCUUACCUGGCUCCAAUUCUCUACACUCCUUUUCUUUCUGCAGACCCUCCUUGACCUCCACCCACCGUCUUGGCUGCACACCAGCAUCUGGGAACAAUUAUGGCCAGAAGGGGGGUGGAUUUAAGAAACCUUGGCCAAAUAAUUUGGAACUUUGCAUACUUUUAACUUUAUUUCAUACCCAGAAUUCAUGUAGGACUUGUUCAUUGUAAGUGUCACAAAACAUGACCACACUGGUCUAAACAGCUAGAAGUUGAUUGGUAGGAAUAUGAAGAGUAUAAGGGCCAUUCCAGCCUCAAAUGCAGUUUGACUCGGUCUCAAAUGAUGUCACCAAGACUCUGUUUCUGUUUCUUCUUCCAUCGUAGAGUUCAGAUUUCUGUGUUGACCUCAUUCUGGGACCAAUUCUGAUCUUAUGGUGAUACGAUGGAGCCAGCAACAGUUUUAGCCUCACAUUCUCCCAAAGUUCAAGUCCCCUAGAGAAGAACUUUUUUUCCUCCUCCUCCGGUAGCUCCUAUAAAAUUCCUGAGGUUCAUCCUGAUUGGAUUGGCUCAGGUCACAUGCUCUUCCUUGAACAAAUCAUCAUGUGGCCAUGAGUGUGAGCAAUGGCAAUUGGCUGGGCUGGGUUAUGUGUUCCAUGUUCUGGAGUUGAUGAUGGAUCUCUCCUAAUGGAUGGACUAAAAGCAGGAGAAAGAGGUUAAUGAACACUGAGUGGUUAACAGAGCAUGUGUCCACUAUCCAACUGUUAAUAUUCUGUCUCAGAGCCAGAUUCCCCAAAUGCAAAUCCAACCAAAAUUUUCAGAUCCAGUUCAAAGAAGUUAGAGAAAGAGAUGUUGGACUAAGAUAGAUCUGGGUCAACUCCUGGAUCAGACACUAAUUUGCUACUUAAUGCUCCUGACCUUAGUCUUCUCAUUUCUAAAAUGGGGAUAGUAACAGCUUUCUCUCUCUCUCUCUCUCUCUCUCUCUCUCUCUCUCUCUCUCUCAGUGCUCAGCAGUUACAGAUGCAUAUGCAACUUUCAUACCUGGGAGUCUGGAUUAUUCUUCAUAUCUAGAUUGCUGCCAUGUUAACCUCCUUGGUGCCAUCAGCCAAAUGAGGACCCACUUACCUCCUCUUACUGCUCUCAUUUUGCCACCAGGGAUGAGAUAGUUACACCUGUGUUCCCUGUGCAUCCUAUCUAUGUUCAGUUAAUAGGACCACCCUCAGCCUCAUCAUGAGACAUGAUGGAGGAGAAACUGAGUAGGAGAGAGAUCACAGAACCCCAUAUUGAGUGGAGUUGGAGAAGACACUAGAGGCCAUCUGAAAUCACCUCUCCUGUGAGGAAAGUCUUAGCUGUGUGAAUGGGGCUGGACAUAGAGAGGGCUGCUUAGAAGCCUAUUGUGAGGAUGCCUGGGUGGCUCAGUGGUUGAGGGUCUGCCUUUGGCUCAGAGCAUGAUCCCGGGGUCCUGGGAUCGAGUCCCGUGUCAGGCUCCCUGCAGGGAACCUGCUUCUUCCUCUGCCUAUGUCUCUGCCUCUUUCUCUAUGUCUCACAUGAAUAAAUAAAUAAAAUCUUUUUUUUCUUUUUAAGGAAGCCUAUUGCAAACCGCUAGGACUCCAGCAGAACUAUGGAUCAUUGUAAACUCCAGUAAAUUAGAACAUUCUUGUUGAAAAUCAACAUUUCUUACCUCCUCAGGGAAACAACUAAAACACAAUUAAGAUAUAUUUUAUGGAGGAAAUAGUCUUAAAUUUGGUCUUAGGGCUUUGAUUAGAUUCACAACUGAAAUAAGGAAGAAGCGAGGUGGGUAAUGUACACAGGUGAAUGGGUCUGGUGUUUACAGGUGUGUUGUCUGCAUGGUGGGGACUGGGGAGAGCCAGGUAAAACAGUCCUCUCCUAAAGUAACUGGCUGUUACUCACCUCCUCUCGAUAGAUGUCAUGUCAGAAGGAAAGUCCAGUGUAGACAAAUCUUCCACUAUUUCAAAAGAUGAAGGAAUUCUGGAUUUUUAAACCAAACUCAAUUUUUGCAUGUUAAUUAUUUUUAAUCACUAGCCCCCCCCCCCCCCAAAAAAAAAAAAACAGUUUCCAAUGCCUUUUUUAAUGUUUAGGAAGCUCUUGAGGGUAGGAAGGGGAGAAUGGGUGGCAGCACAGGGGUGAAGAGACUGUGAAUGGAGCCCAGAAGCAGAACCAGGCAUCAUGUACAGGAACCAUAGUGAGGUAUGUCAACAGCCUGGAGUGCCUGGGGAUUAGCAGAGUGAACACACGGUACAUGGGAGCCAGAUUAAGGAGAGACUUGAAGCCAGCCAGAAUAGCUUAGACAUGAUUCACGGGCUAUGGGGAAUCCUUGUAGGUUCUUGAGUAUAAAGAUUGAGGGACUAAAUCUAGCAGAAGGUGUAGGCCAGGACAAAGCAGGAAUAGCCCAGGACUCAAGAUGCCAGCUAGAAAUAUAUUCUUAUGUAUUUGGCUAUUUACUCCAUAGCCACUACUAAAGCAAAUUCGAGGUUGAAUUAGAACAGGUAGUAAGGGGGUGCACCUGGGUGGCUCAGUCGGUUGAGCAUCCGAUUCUUAAUUCCAGUUUAGGUCAUGAGCUUAGGGUCAUGAGAUUAAGCUUCACAUCAGGCUAGGUGCUCAGCAUGGAGUCUACCUAAGAUUCUCUCUUUUUUUCUCCCUCUGCCCCCCCUACAUGCUUUCU
rnacentral:lncRNA from 1 species